rnacentral:snoRNA from 1 species
ACUGAUAGAAUUGCCUUGCAGAUGUGGUUGCCAUUUGUGUCAAUAGGUUGCAGAGAGGAGAGAAGCUACAUCUAUGGUCAAUGUUCUGACCUAUUUAUUACAUCUGAUUGAUUAGUAGCCUAACAUU